UCAGUAGUCAGUUGAUAUUUGACCCAGGUCUGGUCAGUAGUCAGUCAGUUGAUAUUUGACACAGGUCUGGUCAGUAGUCAGUUGAUAUUUGACCCAGGUCUGGUCAGUAGUCAGUUGAUAUUUGACCCAGGUCUGGUCAGUAGUCAGUUGAUAUUUGACCCAGGUCUGGUCAGUAGUCAGUUGAUAUUUGACCCAGGUCUGGUCAGUUGAUAUUUGGCCCAGGUCUGGUCAGUAGUCAGUCAGUUGAUAUUUGACCCAGGUCUGGUCAGUCGUUCGGUCAGUAGUAAUGUAACAGUGAAGCCAGAUCUAACAGUAAAAGCCUUGGACAGGAGGAAUGUGUUGUUUGGAAAAAGGACUUCCCAGAUUGUCUGUGAUUUUGUUUUUGUCUUGGAGCAGAGUGGAGAGGGAGAAAGUGUGCGCAUGCAUUUGGUCAUUUCUCCUCUUCGUUUUGUUCUACUUCCUGUAUCACACGGGAACAGCAAAUCAGUUCAUGCGUUGCAGUAACGAUGACGACCAGUGAAUAUUCUAGAAUCUUCCUGUGUGUUUGUGCCGGUGAUGAUGAGAGAGAGAGAGAGAUGCAGCCCUACGUGAAUACAUGUUAGUGUGAGACUGAGCGUUGUGUCACAACCACUUCCACUGUGGUCCUGUGGAUUACACACACCAAGGUAUUAAUGCUUAGACUGACGGGUGGCUUCAUGGGGAAUCCAUUACCUAUGAAGCUAUGACAAAGUGUGUGUCUCACACACACACACACACACACACACACACACACACACACACACACACACACUUUGACACCACAACCCUUUUGACACACAUCCCUCAGCAAAUUCAGGUCCUCUUAGUUUUUGUGUUUUGUGAGUUUUUCAUUGCUGAAAAAAUGCACCUGUUAAACUGUUGUAGUGUUUCCACAUCACUGAUAUACACCCAGCCCAGAGAAUGUACCGGAAAGACUUAACGUAGGUACCCUGUUUGACUGUGUCCCAAAAUACACCCUAUUCCCUAUAUAGUGCACUUGUCCAGAGCUGGUCUAAAGUAGUGCAAUAUAUAGGGAAUAGGGUGGGACGUAGCCAUUCUGCUGUAGAAGAGAAACAGGCUGUGUAAUGAAGUGGUUGUAAGUCGCUCUGGAUAAGAGCGUCUGCUAAAUGACUUAAAUGUAAAUGUAAAUGUAUAGUGGGGCGGCAGCGUAGCCUAGUGGUUAGAGCGUUGGACUAGUAACCGAAAGGUUGCAAGUUCAAAUCCCACGAGAUGACAAGGUACAAAUCUGUCGUUCUGCCCCUGAACAAGGCAGUUAACCCACUGUUCCCCUGAACAAGGCAGUUAACCCACUGUUCCCCUGAACAAGGCAGUUAACCCUCUGUUCCCCGGUAGGCUGUCAUUGAAAAUAAGAAUUUGUUCUUAACUGACUUGCCUAGUUAAAUAAAGGUUACAUUUAAAAAGGUAUGAGAAUCAAGUUCUGAAAUUCUAUGUUCUGAUUCUAUGCUUCCGUUGUUCUGAGCAGUUCUGUUUGGAAUGUUCUGAAUGUUGGACCUGAACGGUGGUUCUUUACCUGCAUCGCGGACAUGCUGGAUUUGUUUUGAAAACAGACACCAGAAACGGGUCAGGUGACUACAGGAAAUGGGACGUUAUGUAUUAUUCAUGUGAAUACUAUUGAAGACUGAAGCCCAACUGUUAUUUCACCAGAAACCCUGCUAGUUUACUGGUUAAAAACCAGCUUAGAAACCUUACUUACCAGGUAACCCCAACUAGCUUUAAUAUACACUUACCAGGUAACCCCAACUAGGUUUAAUGUACACUUACCAGGUAACCCCAACUAGUUUUAAUGUACACUUACCAGGUAACCCCAACUAGUUUUAAUGUACACUUACCAGGUAACCCCAACUAGUUUUAAUGUACACUUACCAGGUAACCCCAACUAGGUUUAAUGUACACUUACCAGGUAAUCCCAACUAGUUUUAAUGUACACUUACCAGGUAACCCCAACUAGUUUUGAUGUACACUUACCAGGUAACCCCAACUAGUUUUAAUGUACACUUACCAGGUAACCCCAACUAGUUUUAAUGUACACUUACCAGGUAAUUUCAACUAGUUGAAUGUACACUUACCAGGUAACCCCAACUAGUUUACUGUACACUUACCAGGUAGUCCCAACUAGUUUACUGUACACUUACCAGGUAGUCCCAACUAGUUUACUGUACACUUAUCAGGUAACCCCAACUAGUUUACUGUACACUUACCAGGUAACCCCAACUAGUUUUGAUGUACACUUACCAGGUAACCCCAACUAGUUUUAAUGUACACUUACCAGGUAACCCCAACUAGUUUUAAUGUACACUUACCAGGUAACCCCAACUAGUUUACUGUACACUUACCAGGUAGUCCCAACUAGUUUACUGUACACUUACCAGGUAGUCCCAACUAGUUUACUGUACACUUAUCAGGUAACCCCAACUAGUUUACUGUACACUUACCAGGUAACCCCAACUAGUUUACUGUACACUUACCAGGUAACCCCAACUAGUUUACUGUACACUUACCAGGUAACCCCAACUAGUUUACUGUACACUUAUCAGGUAACCCCAACUAGUUUACUGUACACUUACCAGGUAACCCCAACUAGUUUACUGUACACUUACCAGGUGACGUCCAGCAGUGUAAAUGGCGUGCAUCUCCUCUUCCUGUCACCAGCUGUGUUCUCCCUCUCGCCCAAAGCAACAUGGAAACAUAGUGUUUCCUGUAUUCUAAACCCUCCUCCCUUUCUCCCUCGGUCAAUAUGAAAAUAAAACCCGAUUUACAAAUGUA